AGUCGAGCGAGACCUUCGGGUCUAGCGGCGGACGGGUGAGUAACGCGUGGGAACGUGCCCUUUGCUACGGAAUAGUCCCGGGAAACUGGGUUUAAUACCGUAUGUGCCCUUCGGGGGAAAGAUUUAUCGGCAAAGGAUCGGCCCGCGUUGGAUUAGGUAGUUGGUGGGGUAAUGGCCUACCAAGCCGACGAUCCAUAGCUGGUUUGAGAGGAUGAUCAGCCACACUGGGACUGAGACACGGCCCAGACUCCUACGGGAGGCAGCAGUGGGGAAUCUUAGACAAUGGGGGCAACCCUGAUCUAACCGUGCCGCGUGAGUGAUGAAGGCCUUAGGGUUGUAAAGCUCUUUCAGCUGGGAAGAUAAUGACGGUACCAGCAGAAGAAGCCCCGGCUAACUCCGUGCCAGCAGCCGCGGUAAUACGGAGGGGGCUAGCGUUGUUCGGAAUUACUGGGCGUAAAGCGCACGUAGGCGGACUGGAAAGUUGGGGGUGAAAUCCCGG
rnacentral:rRNA from 1 species